rnacentral:lncRNA from 1 species
GUUUUCAGCUCAGCAAAAUUAUCAAGGACAUUGCCAUCCAGUUGCAGGGAGAAGCAAGUCCGGUGGCAGGUGUCCUCACGGUCCAUUAAGACUUGGUGGAUCUCUUGCACCAUCUCUUGAGGAGACACCUGCAGGGAAAAGGGCUCUAUCCCGGGUGCGCAGAUCUUGACAGUAAAUCCCGUGUCUUGGAUGACAAUGACCUCCUGGUCAUUCCCGUCUUCCCCUGCAUCAGCCUCCUCAUGUCCAUUCUGCCUGGCAUCCUUCUCACCCUUCAGGUUCUCAUGGGGGCCGCUGCCAUUGACAAGUGCCACGCCAGGCAGGUGCUCGGGCCGCUGCUCGGCCUCCGCCGCCCUCCCGCCGCGCGGCCCCGGCUCCUGCUGCUCUCCGCCCUGCGCGGAGGCCGGCACGGCGGCCGGCGGCAUCUCGUCCGCUUUGCUGACCAUGGGCGCCCCGCGCCGUGCCCGCCGUGUCCCGUCCCGCCGCGCCGCGAAGGACAGCGCCGCUCCGACCCACGUGGUGCGGCGACCCCGCUACGGCGCGCGGCCCGGGACCAACCUCCGCGCCGCCCGCAACGCCUUAAAGGGGCCGCGCGCGCGGGGCCGGGGGCGGGAUGGGCCGCGGCGGGGCGGCCUCGGCGGAACGCGGCGCAGGGCGGUGGGGCCGGACGGGCCGGGGGGUGGCGCGGCUCCGCGCUGCCAUGCGCUGCCGCGGCCCGGGCCCGGUGCACGGGCACAGAGCGGCCGGAGCAGGCCUCGCCGCGGGCGGGCGGGCGCCGCGCUGCAGCAGGCCGCUGCCGACCUUCCCGACGCCUGCAAGGUCGCGGCGGGCUCCGUGCGGGGCCCCGGGGCUGCGGUGCCGCCGGAGCGCUGCGUGUGGGCCGGCUGAGGGCCGUGCGGGACCGGGGCGCGGGCGGCCGCCUUCCUCGGGAUUGAAAAACAAACGGCCAAAAGCCAAUUUCGUCCGGUUUGCGGCCUGGGGACGCCGUGCCACGAGUUGGGCCGGGAGAGGCGGCACCGGGGAGGGGGGACCGGGCCGUGGGGCCUCCGGGAGCACAGAGCUCGGCCGGCCCGCAGCUGUGUCCUGGGGACGGGGGUGGGAAUGGGGACGAGGACAGGGACGGGUGUUCGCCCCGGGCACGCUCGGCUUCAAGCCGUGUCAGAGCCGGGGCCCGGGGCUGGGGGCGGCGGGCCGGGAGCUGCUGCCGGUGGGCGCUCAGAGGGCCGCGCUGGGGCAGGAAAGGGCGACUCCAAAGGGACUGCAGUUUUUUCAUGGAGAAGUAGGUGUAUCGCAGUGACUUAUCGUGUACAGCUUACAGCUCCGUUCUCUGCUCUCUGGGUAUGUAGAGAAUUCGUUUUGAAAAUCACUUGGUUAAAAAAAGUCAACGUGAGCACCUGUGGAGCUGCAGCACGGGGGGACAGCUGAUGGCUACACCGGUGCUCCAGGCCCACUGGGCUGUGCACAGUGCAGAACAGCAGCAGUGGGUGAAAGAGCAGUGCCUGCCUGUUGGUGUGCAUGCAGGAGUUGCCAACACGCUGUGUUUUAUAUAUAUCAGGUAAUGUUUGACAAUGGAGCGUUAUUGCUAUGCAUCCAUUUCCAGUCUAAUUAUUAAGCUUUAUGCGUCAACAUUACACAUUGCUUGUUCCAUACAGAGCGUGUAGGUGUCAGCAGUUACACUCCCGGUCUGUAUGUGUCCAUGUACAGAGCUCUGCAGCACAAUGUACAGCUAUGUUAACCGCUCCAACUCAUGCGGAGCUGAGCAGCACUGAGCAACGCAGUGAUGAGGCACUGCCCUGCGCUGCAGCCAGGGGUGGGGGCAGCUGGGCCCCCCGCACACAUGGGCAGGGCAGGUGCUGCCCGGGGCUCCCUGCUGCUCUGUGAGCUCAAUGCACCCAGCAGCAUCCCAGAGGUUAAACACAGGAGUGCUGCCUUGCUGGGUUUUUGGAUCAUUUAGAUCUCGUUGAGCAUUUUAUAUAAAUACAAAGAUUAAAAUAAUUUAUUUCAACAUCAUUUCUAUUACAAUCAUACAGUGUUUUCCCUUCAAAGCAAGUGCGUUAUGUGUAUACAUAUAUAUAAGUGCGUAUAUAUUGUACUCUAGAGCUUCCCCCCAUUCAGGAGCAGCAGUGACCGCAGUGCAGUGCAUGAGGCCGGCCCUCCCCAGCUCAGGGCUGGCCCCGGACUCUCAUGGCCCUGCUGCCUCCAUCCAGGCUGGCAUGGGGUGGGCAGAAGCCACGAGGCACUGAGAUGGGAUGUGCCCCUUGAGCUCGGAGCGCAGCUGAUGGCUGUGAAGGGGGAAGGGUCCUGCAGCUCCCACAGGGUUGCUUCAUUUACAUACUAGGCACUAAAAAUGCUGAUUGUUAGGAAGAUAUUUACAGAAAACAGGAGGGUACUUACACGCCCUCCCCUUUCUAAUGCUCAGGUCAGUCAUGAACAACAUGAUUUUAUCAGUAACGUUAUAAUAAAAAUGCAACGCACUCUGUGUAUCGGGAUUGUCUAGGAACGAGGGGAAACCAGCUGUGCAAAUCACAGCACAGGGACGCACUGAGAUGUUUUACCCUCUCUCACAUAAAAGAACACUCAGACGUGCCCUCAGCAGAAGCACUCAGCCUGGGAAGCGCAGCCCUGUCCCAAGGCCGGGAGGGGCUUCACCUGUGGGAUGCUGGGUUGUCCCUCACCUGCUGCCAUGCAGGGCCCUCCUGGGAGCAUGGCCAGAGGCUGCUGGUGCAGCACUGGGGGCACGGGGGGGUCCUGCCACUGGAAUUGGACACUUCUUCCAGUGGGUGCCCAGCACAGACAAAGGGCAGCAUGAAAGCUGCUCGCCUCCUGCAGAGCUGAUUGUACUUUGGGGUUUGAUUUUACCAUCUGGACAGCUGGCCUGGGAUUGCUACUGAGAGUCUCGUAAAAGCAUUGUAAGUUUUAAACACUGAGCUACAAAAAUAGAGCCCUCCGGCUGCGUGGGCACUCUGCGGGAUGGAGGCAGGCGAUGGUUCAGAGGGAGGGCGAUGCUUUCCCAGGGGUUUGAACUGAGCGCGAAGGAGGCGGACUCCGAUGGGUCGGACACUGCAGGCAAAGCGUCAUCUGCAGCCUCUGCUCCUGAUGGGGCUGCACUGUGGCCAGCUCUGCCCCGUGGGUGGCAGUGCACCAGAUCCCGCUUUGUCAGUGCCUUGCUGACAUGAUUUCAGUCCGCGGUGAGAAAACAGCAGCCGGCUGUAGGUGCCAAUGAGGAGCCACAGUGCCGGCGUGUGGACACCCCAUGCGGGUGAUGUGGGUCACAGCCGUGCUCCGGCAACGUGUGGGGAGCAGCGCCGGGUGCUGCAGGCGGGCACCUUUCAGUCUGGGGGACCCCUGCAGCAGCCUUGUCCCAGCCUUGUUCCUUUAUUGCCCUUGGCAAGCUCGUGCAGCGUUGCCCCACCAUGCUCUGCAUGGCCCAGCCCUGUGGGCUCAGUGCUGGGCUGCAAGCAGAGCACUGCCUUCCACUGCCCCCUUCCCCGGGGGGACAGGGGCAGCAACCUCGGCUGGUGCUCACAUGGUGCUCCGGGGUCAGCACCUUCCCAGCCACUCAGGCCGUGCCCACCUCAAUGCCUACUCCCGGGCGCGGGCACCGCGGGGCCCAGGCCCCGGCUGCUUGCCAGGCUCACCCUUGGCUGGCCGAGCCCUGGCUAUGGGCUCCUGUGGUGGCGGCUGGGGCAGCCGUUGUGCCCGGGGGGCCGUGGCAGCACCCCGGGUCUCGGCGGGGGGCUCCAGCGGUGAUGGGCGCUGCGGGGCGGGCGGCCGUGCUGUAUAGAGGAAGAGGGCCGGGUCAGGCAUGGCGUCGUGCUCCUCACGCACGGGGUCCCUGGGCCGGGUGCCAACCCCAGGUGGGCGCCGCGGGUGCACCCUAUGGCCGCGGCGCUGCGGCCUGCCCUCAGCCGGGGGCUGCUCGGGGGGUGGCCGCCCACCGCCGCGGGGGCCUGGCACGCGCUGGGCGGUGGCAUGCAGCUGCAGGGAGAGGUAGGCGGCCGCUUCUGUCUGCUUCUGCAGCUCAGUGUUGAGGAUGGUGACACGGUGGCUGCGCCGCUUCAGCUCCUCCAGGAAGUGCCGCUCCUUGCUGCGGAGGCUGGAGCGCAGCGCGGCCACCAGCGUCUCCUUGUGCCGCAGCUCCUUGCGCA